AUGAUUGCAGUCUACAGCAGUACCAACCCUGCACCCUGUGUGUCCAGGCUUUACCGAACAUCUGUCCUAGAAGAUCAGGGACCUGGCCAAACUCCUAAUACAAAGGCUCUACAUGCAACUCCCCAAAUAUAUGCAAACUAAAUAUAAUGAUAAAGAAAAAUGGUAGAAGAUGUACUGCACUUCUGUAUGCUGUGAAACUUUAAGACUUGAACUAAUGCCUCCUUUAACAUAAUUCCUUUAUAAAUGCUUAUGUAUGUUAAAUGCUUUAUUGAAAUAUAACAGUAAAAUUCACAAAUCUGAAAAGAAAAUGAGUCUUUAAAAAAAUACAUACACACAUACAGAGUAGAAUGGGCACCAAGUGAUCCUGUCUUUGUUGAGCUAGCUCUACAGUGUGCAAAUUGUUUCUGGUGCCUGGCUUCCAAAGCAAUUCCUUUUCACUUUCCAUAAAUUCUACUUGUUAACUAGUAUUUCCUCAAAAACUGUUAUUUUCUUCCAAUUAGCCAGAAUUUCCCUCUGUUGCUUCCAAUUAAAAAAAAACAAGACCUAUAUAGAUGUAAUUAAAGUGCUUACUUUGUAGAACACUAAAACUCAUUAUAAACAGUGAAUAUUUUAUGUAUAAAAAGCAAGAAGCUAAGAAAGACAUAAAAAUAUAAAUUUAGUAGUGGCCUGGUGAUGCAAGCCUAUAAUCCCAGCCCUGUAGGAGGUUCAGGGUAAAGGAUGAAAAGUUUGAGCCCAGUCUGGGCAACUUAGUGACUUGGUGAAACCCUGUCUCAAAAUAAAAACCACGCGCCAGGAAUACACCUCAAUGUGAGGGCUCUGAGUUCAAUUCUCAGCCCUGGAAAAUAAAUAUAUAAAUGCAUAUGUGUAAAUAUAGAAAUAUGUAUGUGCAUUUUUAUGUGUAAAUUUAGCUAAGUAAUAAAUAAAAAGCAUAGACAUAAAAGUAACAAAAAUAAGAUCUAAAAUUGUUUCUUUGAAAAGAUCAAUUUAAAAAAAGUCCAUUUUCACUUCUCUUUACUCCAAAAGAUUCAUUAAAGAAUUAUUUUUAAAAUAAUCUUACUAUGAAGAAAAAUAAAAAUAAAGAUUGAAUAAGAUGCAUAACACAUACAUGGAAAAUUAGUUCCAAUUUUAAGUAAUUAUGUGUACUUCUGUACCAACAAAUAUAAAGGCCUAGAUGACAUUAUCAAAAUGUAUCAAGAGUUGCUGAGGGGUUAGUUCAGCAGUACAAGCAACUGCCUGACAAAAGGUCAUGAGUUCAA
rnacentral:lncRNA from 1 species